GAGGGUAUAGCUCAGUGGUAGAGUGUGUGCUUAGCAUGUAUGAGGUCCUAGGUUCAACUCCCAGCACUUCCA
rnacentral:tRNA from 1 species